rnacentral:rRNA from 1 species
CCUACGGGGAGGCAGCAGUAGGGGAAUUUUCCACAUGGACGAAAGUCUGAUGGAGCACCGCCGCGUGAACGAUGGAAGGUCUUCGGAUUGUAAAGUUCUGUUGUCAGGGACGAACACGUACCGUUCGAACAGGGCGGUACCUUGACGGUACCUGACGAGAAAACCACGGCUAACUACGUGCCAGCAGCCGCGGUAAUACGUAGGUGGCAAGCGUUGUCCGGAUUUAUUGGGCGUAAAGCGCGCGCAGGCGGCUAUGUAAGUCUGGUGUUAAAGCCCGGGGCUCAACCCCGGUUCGCAUCGGAAACUGUGUAGCUUGAGUGCAGAAGAGGAAAGCGGUAUUCCACGUGUAGCGGUGAAAUGCGUAGAGAUGUGGAGGAACACCAGUGGCGAAGGCGGCUUUCUGGUCUGUAACUGACGCUGAGGCGCGAAAGCGUGGGGAGCAAACAGGAUUAGAUACCCUGGUAGUCCACGCCGUAAACGAUGAGUGCUAGGUGUUGGGGGUUUCAAUACCCUCAGUGCCGCAGCUAACGCAAUAAGCAUCUGCUGGCA